rnacentral:lncRNA from 1 species
UGGGAAUUCAAUAUUUUCUCCAAACUUUCUGAAGAUACUGCUAUGACAAACCCACCGUCAAUAUUAUACUGAACGAGCAAAAGCUGGGAGCAUUCCCCUUAAGACCUGGAACAAGACAAGGAUGCUGACAAUCACUGCUCCUAUUCAACAUGGUAUUGGAAGUCCUAGCCAAAGCAAUCAGGAAAGAAAAAGCAAUAAAAGUCUUCCAAACAGGAAAAGAAGAAGUCAAAUUAUUUCUCUUAAAACUGUUGAUAUGAUUCUAUAUCUAAAAAACCCUAUGGACUCCACCAAAGGGCUUCUGGAGCUGAUAAAUGAUUUCAAUAAAGUUUCAGGAUUCAAAAUCAAUGUACAAAAAUCAGUAGCAUUUUAUAUACCAAUAAUGUUCUAGCCGAGAGCCAAAUCAGGAGUGCAAUCUUUUACAAUAGCCAUACCAAAAAAAAGAAAAAAACUUUGGAAUACAUCUAACCAAAAAAGUGAAAUAUCUACAAGGAGAACUACUAAACACUGCUAAAAUAAUUUUCUAUUAAAAAAUAAGUAGAUUGUUAAGAUACUGGAUGUUUAACACCUCUAAUUCCAAGAAACUCAAAGCAAAAAAAAAAAAUCAUUCAGAAAAUAAUCUGCUAAUAUCUCCAUGAGGAAGUAAGAUACAUAACCUAUGCAUAAGCUCAAUAAGUUAAAGGUUAGUUUUAAAAUAUAUCAAAAUCUGUAUUAAUACUGUAGAGAUUGCUUCACUUAGCUACUAACUCAUUUGUUCCUUUGUUUUAAAUGUGUGAUAGAAAAGUUUUGGGAUGUCUCUGGAAUUUUGAUUGUAUUUCCUAUGCCAAAAAGUCAACUUUCAGGGCAUUAAUGAAUAGCUCAUGCGUAAGUCUUAAUUGUUAUAAUAAAAACAUUUUUCUUCCCUUUAGGUUUUAUCCAAGGUCUUGUAUGUUUUAUGGUUAUAAGCAAAAACAGAUUGGCAGAGGUCAGUUUCCCUGCCAACCUUAAAGAUAGAUGCAAAUUGCUUGAGGAGCAUUAUUUUAAGCCAAGCUUGGCUUGUUUAAUCAAGUUCAUAGUAAAGAGAUGGUAACUAGCUGGAAAACAGCCAACACACGAGUCAAAUUAAAUUAUUCAUGUUGUCCCUUCCACACUGCUUUUAUAAUUAGAGUAGCAGCAUGACACUGAGGGAAAUGCAUGAGCUUUGAAUUUAGAAAUGUAGGCGCUUGAAAGUAUGCAAAUAAGCCUUUAUGAGCCUCAAUGUUUUCAACUGUAAAAUGGGGAGAUGUGUACCUUUUUUGUGGCUUGUUUUAAAUGGAUGAAAUGAGAUAAUGUACUUAUAGUGCUUGGCAUUAAAUAUGCUUGAAAAUUAGUAGUGAACAUUAUUACCUUUUAAUCUAGACCAUUCAAGAUAAAGCAAAGCUUGGUGUUUGAUUGUAUAUCUCUGCCUGUCCUUAUAAUCCUGGUGGUUAAGCAUCUUCAUAAAAUACUGUCUCUAAAAUGUAAGCAAUAAAAUUUGGAUUUAUUUUAUGUAGGAUUCUUUAAGGUAGUCAAGCAUGAAAGUGAAAAGUUCUUCGAUGGCCUUUUUCCAUUUAAUUCCUCAGAUGUAGAAAACCAAAAAGAUUCACAACUAUAUUAUGUUAAUGAUCAUAGUUCCAAAAU